rnacentral:rRNA from 1 species
GAUGAACGCUGGCGGCGUGCCUAAUACAUGCAAGUCGAGCGAACAGACGAGGAGCUUGCUCCCCUGACGUUAGCGGCGGACGGGUGAGUAACACGUGGAUAACCUACCUAUAAGACUGGGAUAACUUCCGGAAACCGGAGCUAAUACCGGAUAAUAUAUUGAACCGCAUGGUUCAAUAGUGAAAGACGGUUUUGCUGUCACUUAUAGAUGGAUCCGCGCCGCAUUAGCUAGUUGGUAAGGUAACGGCUUACCAAGGCAACGAUGCGUAGCCGACCUGAGAGGGUGAUCGGCCACACUGGAACUGAGACACGGUCCAGACUCCUACGGGAGGCAGCAGUAGGGAAUCUUCCGCAAUGGGCGAAAGCCUGACGGAGCAACGCCGCGUGAGUGAUGAAGGUCUUCGGAUCGUAAAACUCUGUUAUUAGGGAAGAACAAAUGUGUAAGUAACUAUGCACGUCUUGACGGUACCUAAUCAGAAAGCCACGGCUAACUACGUG